GGCAUUAGCUCAGUCGGUAGAGCACUUGACUUUUAAUCAAGUUGUCGCGGGUUCGAUUCCCGCAUGCC
rnacentral:tRNA from 1 species